GCUAUAAUGCAAGUCGAGCGGACCGACGGGAGCUUGCUCCCUUAGGUCAGCGGCGGACGGGUGAGUAACACGUGGGUAACCUGCCUGUAAGACUGGGAUAACUCCGGGAAACCGGGGCUAAUACCGGAUGCUUGAUUGAACCGCAUGGUUCAAUCAUAAAAGGUGGCUUUUAGCUACCACUUGCAGAUGGACCCGCGGCGCAUUAGCUAGUUGGUGAGGUAACGGCUCACCAAGGCGACGAUGCGUAGCCGACCUGAGAGGGUGAUCGGCCACACUGGGACUGAAACACGGCCCAGACUCCUACGGGAGGCAGCAGUAGGGAAUCUUCCGCAAUGGACGAAAGUCUGACGGAACAACGCCGCGUGAGUGAUGAAGGUUUUCGGAUCGUAAAACUCUGUUGUUAGGGAAGAACAAGUACCGUUCGAAUAGGGCGGUACCUUGACGGUACCUAACCAGAAAGCCACGGCUAACUACGUGCCAGCAGCCGCGGUAAUACGUAGGUGGCAAGCGUUGUCCGGAAUUAUUGGGCGUAAAGCGCGCGCAGGCGGUUUCUUAAGUCUGAUGUGAAAGCCCCCGGCUCAACCGGGGAGGGUCAUUGGAAACUGGGGAACUUGAGUGCAGAAGAGGAGAGUG
rnacentral:rRNA from 1 species